ensembl:snoRNA small nucleolar RNA SNORA2/SNORA34 family
CUGUCCCUGAAUCAAGGCCAGCAGCUUCCUGAUGCUGUUGGGUUUCUAGCAGGAGCCUAAAGAGAUGUCUUUUUAUGGUCUGUUGGCAUUUCAGAACUUGGGCAGUGAAAUGGUCAAUUCAUUAGAAAGAAACAGCU